UACGUAGGGUGCGAAGCGUUAAUCGGAAUACUGGGCGUAAAGUGUGCGCAGGCGGCCGAGCAAGUCGAGUGUGAAAGCCCCGAGCUUAACUUGGGAACUGCGCUCGAAACUACUUGGCUAGAGUGUGGCAGAGGGAGGUGGAAUUCACGUGUAGCGGUGAAAUGCGUAGAGAUGUGGAGGAACACCAAUGGCGAAGGCAG
rnacentral:rRNA from 1 species